rnacentral:rRNA from 1 species
GUGGGGAAUAUUGGACAAUGGGCGAAAGCCUGAUCCAGCCAUGCCGCGUGUGUGAAGAAGGUCUUCGGAUUGUAAAGCACUUUAAGUUGGGAGGAAGGGCAGUAAGUUAAUACCUUGCUGUUUUGACGUUACCGACAGAAUAAGCACCGGCUAACUCCGUGCCAGCAGCCGCGGUAAUACGAAGGGUGCAAGCGUUAAUCGGAAUUACUGGGCGUAAAGCGCGCGUAGGUGGUUUUGUAAGUUGGAGGUGAAAUCCCCGGGCUAAACCUGGGAACUGCCUCCAAAACUGCAUGACUAGAGUACGGUAGAGGGUAGUGGAAUUUCCUGUGUAGCGGUGAAAUGCGUAGAUAUAGGAAGGAACACCAGUGGCGAAGGCGACUACCUGGACUGAUACUGACACUGAGGUGCGAAAGCGUGGGGAGCAAACAGGAUUAGAAACCCCUGUAGUCC